rnacentral:lncRNA from 1 species
GGCAGGAUUGGGAGGAAGGAAGGGGAGCCACGGAAACAAACACUCUUGAGCAGAACAAGGAGGUAUUGAAGUCUGUUAAGUCACCGGAGAAUGGCUGGAGAUGUAUUUGCCACCGUGGGAAUUUUAAAGUAAUCAGAACUCCGUGGCUAAACUCCUUUGAGUUAACAACCUCUGGGCGCGGUGGCUCACGCCUGUAAUCCCAGCACUUUGGGAGGCCGAGGCGGGCGGAUCAAGAACUCUGGAGUUAGAGACCAGCCUGACCAACAUGGUGAAACACCGUCUCUACUAAAAAUUCAAAAAUUAGCUGGGCGUGGUGGCGCACGCCUGUAAUCCCAGCUACUCGGGAGGCUGAGGCAGAGGAAUCGCUUGAAACCGAGAGGCGGAGGUUGCAGCGAGCCGAGAUCGCGCCACUGCGCUCCAGCCUGGGCGGGGGACAAAACGAGAUUCCGUCUCAAAAAAACAACUUGUCUGCACCCCUGGUAAUAACCUCUCACACCCUUCACAGUCAUUUUACGCCCCUCCCCCCAUUUUCUUUCUUUCUGUGUUCAAAUUAUAGUUGGAAGGAAUAAAGCAGCUUCUUUCAAGCCGAC